UACGUAGGGGGCAAGCGUUGUUCGGAAUUACUGGGCGUAAAGGGCGCGUAGGCGGCAUGGCAAGUCGGGAGUGAAAGCCCGGGGCUCAACUCCGGAAUUGCCUUUAAGACUGCAUCGCUUGAAUCAUGGAGAGGUGAGUGGAAUUCCGAGUGUAGAGGUGAAAUUCGUAGAUAUUCGGAAGAACACCAGUGGCGAAGGCGACUCACUGGACAUGUAUUGACGCUGAGGUACGAAAGCGUGGGGAGCAAACAGG
rnacentral:rRNA from 1 species